rnacentral:rRNA from 1 species
AGCAGCCGCGGUAAUUCCAGCUCCAAUAGCGUAUAUUAAAGUUGUUGCAGUUAAAAAGCUCGUAGUUGAAUUUCGGGGUUAGUAGGUUGGUCAUGCCUCUGGUAUGUACUGGUCUCACUGAUUCCUCCUUCCUGAUGAGCCGUAAUGCCAUUAAUUUGGUGUUGCGGGGAAUUUGGACUGUUACUUUGAAAAAAUUAGAGUGUUUAAAGCAAGCUAACGCUUGAAUACAUUAGCAUGGAAUAAUGAAAUAGGACGUUCGAUCCUAUUUUGUUGGUUUCUAGGAUUGACGUAAUGAUUAAUAGGGAUAGUUGGGGGCAUUAGUAUUCAAUUGUCAGAGGUGAAAUUCUUGGAUUUAUUGAAGACUAACUACUGCGAAAGCAUUUGCCAAGGAUGUUUUCAUUAAUCAAGAACGAAAGUUAGGGGAUCGAAGACGAUCAGAUACCGUCGUAGUCUUAACCAUAAACUAAUGCCGA